rnacentral:lncRNA from 1 species
CUGUUGCCUGCAAGAUGUAGAACUCUCAGCUGCUUCUUCACCAUGUCUGCCUGCAUGCCACUGUGUCCCAAUGUGACAAUAAUGGGCUAAACUUCUGAAACUACUGCAAAAAUAAGAAUUGGAAGUAGACUCCGGUGAGACACUGGCGGCACGUGUUCUACCACUGAGCUGCACCCUCAGCUUCACAUGCGUUUUGGAGGACACAUUAUCUGUGGCACCAUGGGAGGGUGAUGUCAACAUGGCAAGCUGGCCAUUGCUGAGCAGGUGUUGACAGUGGCUGGAACAGUUUAGGAGCACAACUUGGGAAAGUGAAGUUCAAGUCUAUAGGAAUUUUGCCCUCAUGGAGACUACCUACUGAGACAGGCAGAACUCAGGCACCUGGUGGAGACCGCCCACGUGGCGGUAGGGCUAUGGCAGCAUUUGGCGGAAAGAUUUAUCAUAACACUCACAUACCUGGGUUAGCCCAGGGGCACAGCUCUGGCACCAGGGAGGCUAACAGCCCCAAGCUGCAGGGAGACAUUCCAGGUCAGCUCCCUCAUCCCUCCUCUGGACUCUGGUCUCAUUAGACGUUAUGUGUGUUCACCUACGUGUUGGCAGGUGCUUAUGAAGGCCAGAGGCGUCUUCCUCUGUCACUGUCCACCUUGUUUUUGAGACAAGUCUCUCGAUGAUGCUGGAAUUCACGACUUCAGCUAGAUGAGGAGGCCAGUGAGACCCCCAGGAUCUCCCCUGGGCCGGGACUGCAGGGAACACUGUCUGCUUCACACAUCCCUCUAGAUGGCAAUGACCUCUCAGCCUCACUGGGAAAGGACUGAGCGCAGAGUGCCAGGUUUAGUUUCCUUUAUUACUUCAAGGCUCCGAGAGCCCACUGGAUACUGUGUCACUUCCUGCCCCAGCCGGGCUUCUCCUCUGGAGGAACUGGAUUUCAUUUGCUCCAUUUUCCAUGCUCAGAAGUUCACAGUCUGGCCCUCCCAGUGCAAUGAUGGCUGCAGUGAAGAGAAACAUCCAGACUCAGACACUCCCCAGCACAGUGACAAUAACCAGCAGCCAAACUUUAAGCAAAGAGCCCUGAGGACACGAGAGAAAGCUCAGAAGGGAAAGGAGACAUCUAAUCUGAAUGAAAGGGGAGGCUCAUUCCUGCUGCUGAAAGCUGCUUUGAAAGAGCUGAUUCACACACACACACACACACACACACACACACACACACACGGGCGAGCGCGAGCAAACUUAUUACUACUUAUUACUGUCACACACAUGCCCAUACAAACUUAUUACUGUCACACACAUGCCCAUACAAACUUAUUACUGUCACACACGUUGCUGUCAUACACACACAUACAUGCACACAUGUACACACACAUGCCCUUGCAGAUUUGUUGCUGUCACACACACACACACACACACACAUACACACACACGCAAACUUAUUACUCACACACACAUGCAAACUUAUUACUCACACACACAUGCAAACUUAUUACUCACACACACAUGCACUCACGCAGGCACUCUCACACACACACACACACACAUGCAGUCGUGAAUGCAAACUUGUUGCUGUGUGCCAUUCCUUGUUAAGUUUGCUUACUCUGGGCUCAGUCCCUGCAUUGUUAGCAUGCCAUUUAUGUGACCAAAGCAGGGAGAAACAUGUUUCUCAGCAAGCAGGGGAGAAGCUUUAGGGAGAGGUGCGGUCCAUUGCAUGCCCCGUGCAUUACCAGUAUAUGCAGAAAAACUCCUGUCCUUCUAGAGGCAGGAACAGGCUUGAGCCAGUUUCUACUCCCUGACACUUGACAGAGUGCUUGACACGACAGGAAACACAGUGUAAGUUCAAUAUAUAACAUACAUUUCAAAACAGCAGCCCUAAGUAUAAUUCAAUCUCCCUGAUAAUAAACGUGUCAGCAGUAGUACACAGUCACUUUUUAAAAUAAAUAUCUCACUUUUAUGUACCACAUAUAAUCAGUUACUUGAGAAAUAGAUUGUAAAGUGAGCAGACGAGGACGGAAAACAACUUAUUGUUCCCAGUGGAGUUUAAAGAGAUCAGGCACGUGUAGAAGGAGAGCUGUAUAACCCACAACGUUCUCUGCUUAUCUGGAUAGAUAUCGUUGUUUGAAUAAAGGCAAGACCUUUCUUG